CAUUUUUUAUCUCUCCAACUGAGCACGUAUUGUAUACACAAAUUGAUUCACUCGAGUUGGGACUGCUGUGCUUCUUGAAUGAGAGUCGGCUUUCCCUUUAGGUCUAUAUAUCACACAAACCUUUUGAAAUUAGAAUGUUGAAUGAAUAAUAAAAGUUUAUACAACUUUCAGCAACGGAUCUCUUGGCUCUCGCAUCGAUGAAGAACGCAGCGAAAUGCGAUAAGUAAUGUGAAUUGCAGAAUUCAGUGAAUCAUCGAAUCUUUGAACGCAUCUUGCGCUCCUUGGUAUUCCAAGGAGCAUGCCUGUUUGAGUGUCAUUUCAAGUUCUCAACCGCACCAGAUUGCUUGCGUGCGGCUUGGAAGUGGAUUUGCAGGCCGCCUUUGUGUCUGCUCUUCUGAAAUGAAUUAGUGGUGGUCUAAACCUACUAGCACAGGUGUGAUAAAACUAUCUAUGCCUCUAGUAUGCUUUGCAUAUUGCUGCUUCUAAAUAAAUAAUAUGUAUGACAUUUGACCUCAAAUCA
rnacentral:sRNA from 1 species